UCAUGCUGCUAUCCUAUUUUCUCUAGUCUAAAUGUUUAGGUCAAAACACACAUCUUUUAUUGUCUUAGCACAAGUGAAAUUUAUCUUUUUCAGCUGAAAAAGCUUUUUCAACUACCAGUAAGAUGUUUCUUAAUGACUUCCUAGCAUCUAGACCCCACAUUCCUGGCAUCUAGAAACUAGUUUACCUACCAGAAUAAACAUCUUGCCUAUUUUAGGAACAAAAACAAAAUUCCCCAAUACUAAAUACCUCUCUUUUUUUCCAAUAGCCCCCAAACAUGUCCACAGCCUAUUUCCCAGAGUCUGAAUGCUGUUAUACAUGGCAGAAGAAACUUACGGGUAUGAUUAAGGUUAAGGGCCUAGAGAUGCAGCAAGCUGCCUGGAUUAUCCAGGUUGGCCCAAUCUAAUCAUGUGACUGCUCACAUGUAGAGAACCUUUUCUGGGUGUGGUCAGAUAGAAGGGAGGACUAAAUAAAGGUCAGAGGGAUAUGAUGUUGCUGGUGUGGAAUGGAGAAAGGGAGCCAUAAACCAGAGAAUGCAGUGAUCUCUAGAAGCUAGAAGAGGCAUGGGAAUGGAUUCUCCCCUGAAAGCCUCCAGAAAGGGACAUAAACCUGCCUACACUUUUAUUUUGCCCAGUGAGACCCGUGUUGUGGACCUAUCACUAAGUUUCUGGUGCUUGACCCAAGUAUCAGGAUGCUCUAGAGCCUCACCGGCACUCCAGAAUUCCUCACUGGUAUUCGCACCGUGAAUCAGCCCCAGCAUUUGCUUUCUGCUGCCUCUUCCUGAUCUAUCGUUGGAAGGUUGUUUGCAGUCCUCAUGCCUCUCAAUUUGUCUACAACAUUUAAGCAUUCUGACCACUCCUGAAAACUCCUUCCUUGACUGGUAAGAAGUCAGUUUAUCCUAGCUUUAAAAGAACUGUAUUUCUACA